GGGAGGCGAUGUGACUUGGGCUAUGGGGUAACAUUCUCACCCCAGACCCUCUUAAUACACCUGACAGACAGACAGGUGAACAGACAGACAGGAGAACAGACAGACAGGAGAAGAGAGACACCAGAUAGAGCGAUCACACCUUUUAGGUCUCCAUUCACCCAAGUAUCGUCAAAGAUGGUGGAUAAUGAAGAUAUUUCACUCAGGUCGUUCACCAUUAUAAAAAAGGAGAAGUCCUACUCAGGGGGGAGAGGUAUACAGACGAGGAGGCAUACAAAGGUAUGUCUAUUGGUAUGUUAUGUUAUGCAGAUCACAUUUACCGUCUUCCUCCCUUAGCACUUCAAUGAAUAUCCCAGAGGCCUCUACAUUAUGGACAAGACGUCCCCCUCCCUACACCUCUGAUGAAUAUAGCAGGAAACCUGUUUGAUCACCAUGCACUGCUAAAUCAUUCUGGCUAUGGAUACGGAGAACAUCAACACAUUAACAUCAACAGGCCAGAGGAUAAACCCAUUGGACUUGGGGCUCUGCUGCGAGUUGACCUCCUAUUUGGAAUUUUCUUUGCCACGAAAAUGAUAAUAAAC